rnacentral:ncRNA from 1 species
ACGGAUCUGCCGCCGGGCAGAUUAAAAACGCCGCAGUUCGUAUCGUUAGGCCGUAGAAGAUACGAAUCGCGGCGUCUAUUCUUU